AUUACAAGCUAUUUUUAAGUUAUGAUAACUUCCAGCAUUCUUAUAUAAACUGAGGUCUGGCAACAUUUUCCAUUAGAUGUCAUUCAAAAUGUCAAUCCAAAUGUUUGUGUUAUUAUUUGUUGUUCUUAUUGGACUAGCCAGUGCUGCCAGUAUUAUUGGAGAUGUAAAAGAAUCCAGAUGUGGCGAACCUUUAUAUCAUCCUUGUGGAAGUUAUUUUGAUGAAAACGACUUGUACGGUUCAUUAGUAUGCAGAAAUAAGCCUGAUGGAACCUUGUUAUUCAGGCCCCAGAGACCCCAUGAUUACUUUUAUUGUAUUGGAGGAUUUACAUACUUGAAGAAUUGUGGAAAUCGUUUUUUCAAUCCAGAUAUAAAUGCAUGUGAAUAAGAACUUGUGGAAAAGGAAACGUAAAUUUUAAAUAUAAAGAACUUUCCAUCAAUAAUUUCUUUUGAUUUGAACUUAAAAAGAAGAACAGAAUAAAUAUAAACAACUGUCAAAACUUUUA